rnacentral:rRNA from 1 species
AACGUAGGAGACUAGCGUUAUCCGGAUUUACUGGGCGUAAAGCGUGUGCAGGCGGUUCGGCAAGUUGGAUGUGAAAUCUCCCGGCUCAACUGGGAGGGGUCGUUCAAUACUACCGAACUUGAGGGCAUCAGAGGAAGGUGGAAUUCCGGGUGUAGUGGUGAAAUGCGUAGAUAUCCGGAGGAACACCAGUGGCGAAGGCGGCCUUCUGGGAUGCUCCUGACGCUCAGACACGAAAGCUAGGGGAGCAAACGGG